rnacentral:rRNA from 1 species
ACCUGCAAACACGCCAUCCUGAACAUGCCCGCGCUCAUCUGAUCUCAGAAGCUAAGCAGGGUCAGGGCCUGGUUUGUAUUUGGGUGGGAGAAAUACAUGAACCAAAGAUAACCUGCCAUGCUGAUU